AUCCUUUUAUUGGCUCAUUAGUGUGAUCAUUGGGUGUCCAUGCAUUUGCAUGACAUGUGCCUCCCACAAACUUUGUUACAGUGUUGGCAUUACAAAUCCCAUU